rfam:Microgenomates (Daviesbacteria) bacterium GW2011_GWB1_41_5 TT67_C0013, whole genome shotgun sequence.
GCGACUGUCUUGAGGAUAGACCCGGCGAAAUUGCAAUGGCUGUGAAGAUGCGGCCUUCCCAUACUUGGACAAAAAGACCCCGUGGAGCUUUACUGUAGCCUGAUUCUGAUUUGAAAAUUUGAUUGUGUAGCGUAGGAGGGAGUCGCCUCGGCGACACCAAUGAAACACCUCUCUUUUAAAUUUUUAAGUCUCUAACGCUAGCCAUAAACUGGCAGCGCAACAAAGUCUGGCGGGCAGUUUAACUGGGGCGGUUUCCUCCAAAAGCGUAACGGAGGAGUACAAAGGUACACUUUGGUCGAAAGGCAACCGACCUUUAAAGCGCAAAAGUAUACAGUGUGCUUGAUAGCGAGACUCACAAGUCGAGCUGGUGCGAAAGCAGGUUUUAGUGAUCCCCCGAUUGUUCGUGGGAACGUCGGGGCUUAUCGGAUAAAAGCUACCCCGGGGAUAUGUGAUAUGUUCUGUCCCGUUAUAUAAUGAAGACGGGACGUAAAUACGGCUAAUAACGGUGGACUCUACUGAUUGGUGGUUUUGGUCUUACCAAACAUCGAGACGAUCUUUAGACAAUACCGUGGGAAGUCGAAGGUAUGACAAAAAUACAAAAAGCGAUUAUUAUCGGAUCGAUUUUAGGAGAUGGUUUUAUACAAAAAACCGGCAGUAAAAAUGCCCGUUUGAGGUUGGAACAUAGCUUAAAACAAAAAGAAUAUUUGAUCUGGAAAUGCCAGAUAUUGGGUAAUUACUUUCAAUCCAAACCACAAAUUUUGGAACGGAAUAAUCCCAUAUUUGGUAAGACUUAUCAAUAUAUUCGGGCUCAAUCUUAUUCAGGACCUGAAUUUGGAAAACUGUAUCGGCUAUUUUACAUAGCUGGUAAAAAAGUUAUACCAGAUAAGAUUUUUGAUUUGAUGAAAGAUCCAGUGAGUUUGACGGUUUGGUUUAUGGAUGAUGGUUACUAUUAUCAAAGAGAUAAAAUGGCCUAUCUCUAUUUGCCAAAAUAUGAUCAUGUCUCAAUUAAUAAUUUGUUGGAUGUAUUAAAAGUCAAUUUUAGUUUAUCUCCCAUUCUUAAAAUUAAGAAAAGGGGAGAAUAUGUACUUAAUUUUUCAGUUGUUGAAACUGAAAAGCUGGUACAAAUUAUUAAACCAUUUGUUAUUUCUUCAAUGAAGUACAAAUUACCUUUUGACCCCGUAUCGACUGAGGCCCAUUAAAGGAGUUACCGAUAUAACUCCCGGGCGAGAUGUGAGGUUUAAUCUUGCAUCAUAUGCCGUACCCCGCCAACAGCUACGCAGUUGCGGGCGGGUGAAGAUAUAGUCAGCGCUAAUAGUGAUAUUAGAAUUUCGUGAACAGGCUAGUGCUCUCCAACAGUCCACAAGGACGAGAGCGUUCGGCACCUCGAUGUCGGCUCAUCCUAACCUGGGGCUGAAGAAGGUCCCAAGGGUCUGGCUGUUCGCCAGUUAAAAGGGUACGCGAGCUGGGUUCAAACCGAUGUAAAUCAGGUUGGACUCUAUCCAGUAUGGGCGUUUGGAUACUUGAGGGGAGUUGUCUCUAGUACGAGAGGACCGAGACGAGGAAACCUCUAGUGUGCCGGUUGUAUGAUAAAUGCAGCGCCGGGUAGCUACGUUUCUAACUGAUAAAUGCUGAAAGCAUCUAAGCAUGAAGCAGACCCCAAGAUUAGGUAUCUUUGAAACCCGUAGCAGACUACUACGUUGAUAGGAGUGCAGUGGAAGUCCGGUAACGGAUUAAGCUUACACUUACUAAUGGUUGAAGUUGAGUUUUU